rnacentral:rRNA from 1 species
UAGGGAAUCUUCCACAAUGGACGCAAGUCUGAUGGAGCAACGCCGCGUGAGUGAAGAAGGUCUUCGGAUCGUAAAGCUCUGUUGUUGGUGAAGAAGGAUAGAGGCAGUAACUGGUCUUUAUUUGACGGUAAUCAACCAGAAAGUCACGGCUAACUACGUGCCAGCAGCCGCGGUAAUACGUAGGUGGCAAGCGUUGUCCGGAUUUAUUGGGCGUAAAGCGAGCGCAGGCGGAAUGAUAAGUCUGAUGUGAAAGCCCACGGCUCAACCGUGGAACUGCAUCGGAAACUGUCAUUCUUGAGUGCAGAAGAGGAGAGUGGAACUCCACGUGUAGCGGUGGAAUGCGUAGAUAUAUGGAAGAACACCAGUGGCGAAGGCGGCUCUCUGGUCUGCAACUGACGCUGAGGCUCGAAAGCAUGGGUAGCGAACAGGAUUAGAUACCCUGGUAGUCCAUGCCGUAAACGAUGAGCGCUAGGUGUUGGGGACUUUCCGGUCCUCAGUGCCGCAGCAAACGCAUUAA